rnacentral:lncRNA from 1 species
GCGACACAUGGCUCAUUGAACUUUGGGCUUGACAAAAUAGGUUGCGACUUAGCGAACAUGCGCAUAUGCGUGUGGGGGCGCGGAUGUUUUCCCCCUUGACAGAGGUGGAGAGGCGGCAGGGUUCGCACUAACCCAGGUUGCGAGUGUGGAAGGUGCGGGUACGUAAUUGUCAGACCAGUAGGCAGUCGGACAGAGGCGGUCGGACUGGGAGGCAGAUUACGUAAGUAGCAACGUUGCACGAGUGGUCUGUUACGUAAUUGACAACGUUGCACAUGGAUUCUAGAUCCGUGUACGACCAAUGGGGGUCGCCCCUGAGUAUUUAAGCGGCUGACCGCUUGUUGCUUAGGCAUAGCGCCGGGUGCUAGCCUGACGUAACAUUCCAGGUAGCCUUCCCCAGGCAAUCAAUCAACACCUCAUCGCGAUAGGGCCGGGUGCUAGCCUGACGUAACAUUCCAGGUAGCCAUUCCCAGGCAGCAUCUAUCACUGAGGGCACCAGACGUGACAUUCCUGGUAGCCGCUCCCUAACCAAACACUCACGCACCAGUGGAUGGUCUUUCCCACUGCGCUGCUACUGUAACGGUAUACGGUUGACUUACCGCCCCAUGUCAAUCAUCCCUCGGGAGGGAAACUGCCUAAGACCGCGGGACGCGCAGCGGCAGCCUUCACCAGCAAUCCGCUUAGGCACUACGCUGCCCCCUCUCUGUCUCUUCAGGGGAACCAGCCGGCACAGCACCAGGGCACGUCCUCAUACGCCCCUCGUGUGCCCCCAGCGACAUCAGACGAUCCUAGGGCAGCCCCGUUACUCCCCAAGAUAGGCGGUUGGCUAGUCGCACGAUUAGUUCAACGCGAAAAUUUUGGGGGUGCGGCGCGUAGUUGGUAUCGAGACCAGGUUAGCUGGUGCUCGACUGGCGGGUCGUGCCUGGUCUCCCCUAAGUCUCGCAGCGCUAUCAAGCUAAGUCAGCAUGGCGACACCAUCGCACGUGCAGCCCAGCAGCGUCAAUUCCAUACCGUACUAUGAGACGGAUGAUUGCGCUCGGCAAUGGCUGGCACGGCUAGACCGCGCUAAGCGCAUGUACGGCUGGACGGACGACCAGACGCUGGAUGUGGCUGUCUGCCGGCUAGGAGACUCUGCCGCAACGUGGUAUUCAGGGGUUGAGAACUCCAUCACCACCUGGGCGCAGUUCCAAAUCACUUUCCAAGAGCGCUUUGAGGCGAAUCAGGAGGAGUUAUACAACCUGCUUGCACGCUGCCAACAGCGCCGGCGUGAACCCGUGCGAGAGUACGCGGAUCGGUUUCGUGACCUGGCGUCGCAGCUGUCGCUCAAUACCUCUGACCCCGUCCAUACCUUCUCCUUCCUUCGUGGGCUACAACCGGACAUCUACGAUCAGGUGUUCUUGCUGAGGCCCAAGACACUUGAAGAAGCAAUUCACGACGCCAUCUACAUUGAGGAAGGCUCGCAAUGCUACUCUGCACCAAGCAGCCGCAGUCACCGGUGGCGUGACCAGUCUCCCGGCCGCCGCCAUGGCCGCAACAGGGACCGGCGGUUCACGGACUGCCACUACCGCUCGUACGAUGAGUCUCAUUACUACGGCAGCCGUCCGUCACGACAUGGGCGCUACUCAUCGCCAUCAACACAACCCCAAGCAAACCGCGGGCGAGGUCACGACCAUCAUGACGUGCAACAAGUCGACUUGUACGACGCCGAUCAAGCGGAUGAAGCCGCUCUUGAGGGUCUUGCCGCUCACAUGGCACGGCUGAUGCGCCUGUUGGAGGAGGUGACAGGGCAAGGACCUCACAUGUUGGACAUGGCGCGAGACAGUCGUUACUACGAGGAAGAUACGUGCUACGUGCCGUAUGAGGAGUAUGAAACACACCCUGACGCCGAGCGAGGGGGCGAGCAGGUGACCGUCCCUUCCACACAACCGUAUGCGCCGGACACCCCUGAGCUCACACCAUAUUCCACACCUGUAACUGCGCUUGCGCACCCACCUCGCGCCACCUUCCCGACGCACGUUUACGUCAUGCAGCAGACCGUAUCCCCGCCGCCAGCAGUAAUACGGGAUGACACGCCCCAGCGGGCAUAUCACUUGGAGCAGAUUCCCGCGCAGCAGCCCGCGCAACCUGCGGAGGAGAGCCAUGAUGGUGCAAGCGAGGACGUGAAAGGCGUGGACAUGUACCCCAUGCCGUUGCAUCCAACACUCGGAUGGGACGCCGUAUGCAAUCAGGACCCGGCGCAGCCCAUCGAGAGCGCACCUACUGUAAACCCCGGCAGUUCCGUGCCUGGUGUCCAAUCGUCACUCCAACACUUGCCAACCGUGGAAAGGGAUACGCCCGUGCUCGAGUCGCCCGACACCCGCGAGAGGCUUACUCGGGAGUCACCCGCUGUGCAGCAGAUGCCGCCAGCAGCGCCGUAUUUGCCUGAGCACGCCUCGACACCACAGCUUCAGCAGACAGCGCUCCCGUCAGCUCCGCCGGCGGCUUGGCUUGCUUGUACGCCGCCGCGUGCUUGCCUUGAUGCCUCGACAGGGCAACCUGCCGAUAUGACAAGGUGUCAGGGGAAUCGCCAGUCAGAUGAGCUGCACGCGCCAGGUCUGAACACGACGGCCGCCGAGCUCCCAACCGUUACUCCCCGGUCAUCCAUCUUUCAUGCUCAAGGCUGUUGCGACACGCCACUUGUACCGCCAACCUUGCCACCAACCAGCGACACGGUGUUGGAGCUGCCACCCAAACCCAUGUUCCGUUCCCCUGACGAAGCACCAAAGUUGUCCACGGGACCCGAGCUCCCCUUUCACGUCCAGCUAUCGCUUGAUGCGAUUCGUCUCCUUCCGGCCCUGUCAAGCGCUCACCUGGCCGCGCAGGCGCCCGAUCGUGGGACGUGUGGCCUGCAACACACCGCCAUGUGGGACGUACUGCAAGACGGCAUGAGGAUGGGAGAGCAACGACAAGACGGCACGCCUAGUCAGGAGGACUCACGUCCUGUCACGCCCGCUGUGUGGCACCGGUACCCCCUGCCGCGCAACAUGGGCACUUCGCCUCGCAAACCCUCAACGAAUUAUAAGGUUGCUGGCCUACUGUACGCCCUGCUGCAUCGGGUCCUAUACCACACGGUCCUGGGCAAGAGCGACAACCACUCGCGGAGCAGCAGUCUCGACUCACCUGCUUUCAUGGCUGAGCACUCCGCUGAUGCAACAUGCACGUAUGAGGCGCCGGCGCCCACGCCACCACCGGAACCACCGCCGCGUGUGUGUACGGCAGCAUCAAACACCGCCACACGGACACCACAGCCCCGCCACCUGUGCAAGGGAGACCGUCGCACUUAAUAUCAGCAGGCCAAACUAGAAACGAAAUCUGGGAGCGAGGGAACUUUGUUUGGCAAACUCCGACCAGCAGCUGCCAACAUGGCGCUCACCAAAAGCUAGGGAGCUCUUGUACGCCGGUGUGACGCACGGAUGAUAAUCUGGAGCAGGCAAUUAGGAACGACUGGGAGGUAUCAAAGGCAGCGCAGAGCAGUCAGCCAUGCGGAGUCACCCCGUCCAAGUGCAAGGCCGUGGUAAGGCGGCAGUAGCAACACAGCAGUCGACUCGAACAGUAUUGAGACCCACCGGGGAUGGACGCUGCUGUGCUGAAGCCAUGGCCCUUACGCCGCGGCCUAUCUAAUGCUCCCACGUUUCGCGGCAGCAAGCAUGCUGCAGCUCACAGCGAGGAGACCCACCGGUGGUUGGACGUGGUUGGACUAGUAAAGGGAGAAGCGCUGCUAGCGCUGCUUACUCCAACUGCUUACUCCAUAAAAGACAACAGCGCAACCGCCUGCAACACUGCUAAGCGUAAGCACGAACCCGUACAACGGCAAAUCCCAAGUCUUCCCACAGUAUUGUCAGCAGGAGGUGUUCGCCAUUCGCCAUUCGCCAUUCGCCACCAACGGACAUUCGCCAUUCGCCAAUCAACCAACGGACAUUCGUCAUUCGCUAACCAACGGACAAGGGCAAAACACACACCUAUAAUUGCGGCUGGCCGCCGGACCCACAGCGAGCCUGCGAAGAGCCACGCACUCUCCAUGGCGUAGCACCUUGUAGUUCGAGUCCAACGCGCCAUUACUGGGACGCCGCAGCACAGUUCAACUGCUUUUGGCCGACGCGGUCGUCGGAUCAAUCGUGGGGGAGGUCACAGCUGUGGCGCGACACAUGGCUCAUUGAACUUUGGGCUUGACAAAAUAGGUUGCGACUUAGCGAACAUGCGCAUAUGCGUGUGGGGGCGCGGAUGUUUUCCCCCUUGACAGAGGUGGAGAGGCGGCAGGGUUCGCACUAACCCAGGUUGCGAGUGUGGAAGGUGCGGGUACGUAAUUGUCAGACCAGUAGGCAGUCGGACAGAGGCGGUCGGACUGGGAGGCAGAUUACGUAAGUAGCAACGUUGCACGAGUGGUCUGUUACGUAAUUGACAACGUUGCACAUGGAUUCUAGAUCCGUGUACGACCAAUGGGGGUCGCCCCUGAGUAUUUAAGCGGCUGACCGCUUGUUGCUUAGGCAUAGCGCCGGGUGCUAGCCUGACGUAACAUUCCAGGUAGCCUUCCCCAGGCAAUCAAUCAACACCUCAUCGCGAUAGGGCCGGGUGCUAGCCUGACGUAACAUUCCAGGUAGCCAUUCCCAGGCAGCAUCUAUCACUGAGGGCACCAGACGUGACAUUCCUGGUAGCCGCUCCCUAACCAAACACUCACGCACCAGUGGAUGGUCUUUCCCACUGCGCUGCUACUGUAACGGUAUACGGUUGACUUACCGCCCCAUGUCAAUCAUCCCUCGGGAGGGAAACUGCCUAAGACCGCGGGACGCGCAGCGGCAGCCUUCACCAGCAAUCCGCUUAGGCACUACGCUGCCCCCUCUCUGUCUCUUCAGGGGAACCAGCCGGCACAGCACCAGGGCACGUCCUCAUACGCCCCUCGUGUGCCCCCAGCGACAUCAGACGAUCCUAGGGCAGCCCCGUUACUCCCCAAGAUAGGCGGUUGGCUAGUCGCACGAUUAGUUCAACGCGAAAAUUUUGGGGGUGCGGCGCGUAGUUGGUAUCGAGACCAGGUUAGCUGGUGCUCGACUGGCGGGUCGUGCCUGGUCUCCCCUAAGUCUCGCAGCGCUAUCAAGCUAAGUCAGCAUGGCGACACCAUCGCACGUGCAGCCCAGCAGCGUCAAUUCCAUACCGUACUAUGAGACGGAUGAUUGCGCUCGGCAAUCGCGACACAUGGCUCAUUGAACUUUGGGCUUGACAAAAUAGGUUGCGACUUAGCGAACAUGCGCAUAUGCGUGUGGGGGCGCGGAUGUUUUCCCCCUUGACAGAGGUGGAGAGGCGGCAGGGUUCGCACUAACCCAGGUUGCGAGUGUGGAAGGUGCGGGUACGUAAUUGUCAGACCAGUAGGCAGUCGGACAGAGGCGGUCGGACUGGGAGGCAGAUUACGUAAGUAGCAACGUUGCACGAGUGGUCUGUUACGUAAUUGACAACGUUGCACAUGGAUUCUAGAUCCGUGUACGACCAAUGGGGGUCGCCCCUGAGUAUUUAAGCGGCUGACCGCUUGUUGCUUAGGCAUAGCGCCGGGUGCUAGCCUGACGUAACAUUCCAGGUAGCCUUCCCCAGGCAAUCAAUCAACACCUCAUCGCGAUAGGGCCGGGUGCUAGCCUGACGUAACAUUCCAGGUAGCCAUUCCCAGGCAGCAUCUAUCACUGAGGGCACCAGACGUGACAUUCCUGGUAGCCGCUCCCUAACCAAACACUCACGCACCAGUGGAUGGUCUUUCCCACUGCGCUGCUACUGUAACGGUAUACGGUUGACUUACCGCCCCAUGU